rnacentral:lncRNA from 1 species
CUGUCACCAACAUCCACUACAAGGACUCAUUAAAUCAAUGUUUAUAUGUAGUCAAGCUCCAGCAGCCUCACUGCAAGCAGUUGUAGCACCACAAGUCAAAGGACUAGUCAUACUACUGCAGCAUCGAGAAAAUCACUAACGAGUGAGUAGACAUCUAUGUGACUUCUCGUGUUGGUCAUGCUCAGUGCUAGUUAUUCUGUAACA